AAUAGCACGACUUUCUUUCGCAUGUGUGUUGACAAAUAACAUUUUAUAAAGCGCUAUAAAUAUAAACUGGAUCUUAACUUACAGCUUACAGUAUAGGUUAUGUUAACCUUUUGAAACAAACACCUUUAAAUCAAAUUGAAGCUGAAGUAAAACGUUGAGUGUCCGCUGGGGGGCGGUAUUGACCCUUGAUAUAACACAAGUGAGCGUGAGCUGAAAACUGAACAGAGAAAGUCAUCAGCUGUCAGUGCCGAAGAACAAAUAACAGAAAAAAUGAUAAUGAUCAACAUUUAUUUGUCUUUGAAAUUGAUCAAUCGUUAAUACAAAUGAAAAACUAUAACUUAUAAAUAGUCUACAAUUUAUGACAAAACAUACAAUCAAAGUAUUAGAAGGUAGAUAGUCUAUUUAUCCGAAUUGCCAAUAUGAUUCGUGUGUUGUUGUUAUUAAUUUAGUCAAAGUGGUUAUCCACUUACCCAAUCUCGUAAUUCCACCAAAUAAUCAUAAACGAAAAUUUGCGUAAUUGUACAGUUUUAAGAAACUUCUUUAUGAAUAACUUUUGCGUAUACAAUUAGAAGGAAAAUGCAACGUCUGUCUUUGUUAAAUAAUGAUAAUCUGGUUUAAUAAAUACGUUGUUUUAUUCCCAAUCAGUGGCGAUUCCAUCCAAUUUAUCAUUUGCAAUGGAUACAAAUAACUAAAAUAUAUGUUUUAUAUUCUUUUAUAUUGUUUUCAAUUUUCUGAAAAGCGCGAAGGUUCAUGAUAGCAAAACGCAUUAACGGAUGAAAGUAAAUCCGAACAUGAAAGUUCACUGCCACCUAAAUUUACCUUAUUGUGCUCCUCACUGCCAUUUGCAGGAUUGACUUGUUUUUUGAGGAUUUGUCUAGUUAAGUCAUGGUGAACCCGUUUUCUCCAAACAGCUCCAGGUUUUACUUAAUACGGAAUAAAAAAGUAUUUAGCAUAUUAAUGUGCCUUUAUCGAUAAAGUUAUUCAAUCUUUAAUUGUCGCAUGCUGUACAAAUGGCAAUAAAUAAAAGAAAAAAAUAGCUAAAAUUAAUCUAACUUGUGUAGAAUAAAAUCUAUAACUGAAAUUAUGUAUUUAUGUAUUUUUACAUUAAGACAAUUUGAUGUUAUGAUACUUUAAAAAGCAGAAUAGGUUGUAACUAUAAACAAUUGAUUACAUUUUUUAGCAUAAAGUUACUGACUUAUCUGUCUUGUUACAUUUUUUCUUUGUUUAUUUUACAUUUCUAAUUGUAUUUUUAAUGUUUAGCAAAUUUUAUAACCGUUGUCUCGUAUUGUUUUUAUUAUUAUUACUAUUGUUGUUGUUGUUGUUAAUAUUAUUAUUAUUAUUAUUAUUAUAAGCAAUUAUAAGAAGUAGUAGUCUGUAAAAGGGUAUACAUUUUUGUGCAAAUCCAUUAAAAUGUAGUUUGUCAAUUGGUACUUAAAUGUAAAUCUGUACAUAUGUAGGCUAAUACUGUUUGUAAAUCUAGUCCGUUUUUUGUAGCAAUAAAAGCGCUUAGCAUCGUUAGAUGGCAGUGAUGCUCUCAGUGCGCAUCAUCGCGCCGCGUGAACAAACACCGCACUGCUAUCAAAGAAAUAAGAGGCAGCUUUCAAGUUAUGUCUGACGUGUAGCGACUGCGCUUCAUUUUCUGCCAUAAAUGUUUGUGCAUCGUACACAAAACAUAAUAUUGUUGUUUCAUUUUGAGGAUUAUUGUUAUUAUUGCAACUACUAUAAAAUAUAUAAUAAAUAAUAAUGCACAGAGAUUAUUAUUAUUAGGCCUAAUUAUUGUCGCUGUCAUAAUAUUAUUACAUUGUUGUUGGUGGUUUUGGUAUGAUUACCCUUUUUAUAUUUAUUCGAUUUGUGUCUGGUUUCAUUUUCUAAGUUCUAUAUAAUUAAUAUUAUAACAACAUAUUAGCUAUUUAAUUGUGAAAUGUGAACUCUUUGAUAACUCAGAUCGCAUUAUUGACUCCGUGAUUCAAACUAUCCCCUCCGGAAAUUGAUUUGUUUUAUUAAACUAUUUAAAUCUGAUUUUAUUUAUUUUGAAUAGAAAAAAUGGAAAUAAUCAAAAUACACUUUGUAGUUUAUUUUCAUUUGAAGAGCGCUAUUUAUUUAGAUUUAGACGAAUAAUAAUAAUAAUAAUAGUAAUAAUAAUAAUAUUAAUAAUAAAACUGUUUAUUACUAACCUACACUUUGAAUACUGCGAGACCGGACAUGUCUUCAAAUAUCGGUCUGUUUAUUAAUAUAUACAUUGAUUAUAAACAUUUUUAAUGUAAACGCUGUUUAAAAAAACGAAAUAGCUAAACAUCUGAAUUUAAUUAUUUUAAUUAUGUUUCUACAUUUUCCAGUAUAUUUUUAAAAAUACAUAUUUUUAAAAUUACAAUUGUUUAAUUUUGGUUUCUUCAUGUAGCAACUGUUUAAGUUUUCCUAAUGCAUGUUCCGCUGUUCUUACCUUGUGGUCGAAUUAUCCGAGUUGUUUAACUAAAACAGGGAAGCUUGCAAAGCUUUAUUGAGUUUAGAUUGGCUUUUUCACCCUCUCUCCCGCUCAGUGUGGUGCACGUGCCACACACCUGCUGCCUGGGCGCACCAUUCUGACAGAGGGAGGGGUGUCUCAAAGAAAACAAUUAAACGAGAGUUUCUCAAGCAACAUUACAUAAAUCACGUGCUUUUGGGUUUCUUGCUUUGGGCCCCGUUGUCAAAAUUCUUCAGAGACCAAAGUUCAGCACCCAUCUCGUGCUUCCACUAAAACCCUUUCAACUUUUGUGGGCAGAACAUUUGGGCCUUUGCGCCACCAGUGACGGAAGUCAAACGACUUUUAGAGGACUCUAAGCAUGUAAGGCGUUCGCUCUGAUUGCCUUUCAUGCUUGUCCAAUGAGAUCUGUCUUUAUGAAACACUUCGUAAACCGGAGUUCCAAACAAAAGGCCAAGUCCCUGAAACACACAAGUCACGCCACCGGCAUAUUGCUGACGGCCUUGGACACAGUUCAUUCCUCUCUAGCAAUUACUUUCUUCAUAGCACAUCCCUGCUGGGAGAAAAAAAAAUCAACAAAACCUAAGCUAGUUUACUGGUUUUAACUGGUUGGGUUAAGUUGUUUUUUAUAACUUGUGUUUUAACAUUUGAGCGCGGCUUUCGGUGACAUUAGCCCACAUUUAAAUGGUACCAGUAGGUCAACAAAUUAAAAGCAAUCUUUUGCUGCUGUAUAUUUAUAAUUGUUAUAUUAUAGUGUAAUGCAUCUUCAUGAUCAUAACACAUUUGUUUGUUGCGUUUGUUUGUUAUUAAUUCCUCUAAUUAUUUCCCUUUAGGGGCUGCUCCCAAACGCACAUUCGCAUGAAAAGUAGGUAUAUAUUAAUUUACUUGUAAUCAAUAAGUCUUAAUACACUUGUCUUUAUGUAUAAGAAAUAUACCUCAAUCAGUAUAUUCCCAAUUUGCUUUAAGAUAUUUGCCUGUAAAGGGUUGGUCAUUUUUCUUCGCAGAUCCUUAUUGAAACGCAAGGGGGCGCCUUACACAAAUCUUGUUUGGGCACAAGUAGGCUACGACCCUCGGGCUCUUGUUUCACCACAAAGGAUGCUCUCAGUGAACCUCAAUCAAGAUGCGCCUUCUUUUUAUUGGUUUAUUGGAUCUUGGAUGAGAGUCUAACCAAAGCGGUCCCUCUGGAACAAAACACAAAACAAAUCCGCUGUCUGCUGUCCGCAGUUAUCGGCCCUGAUCUCCAGGUGCAUCGUAGACGAGGGUCAGAAGGUUCGAGGCUUCAUAAUGGACACAAAAGCACAAAGCAUGCGGACGGGCGUGAUGCUCCGCUACCUGAUAUCAAAGCCAGCAGCCUCUGCAUGAGAGGAGAUGGGCCUCGAACAGUCGGAGAAAAACCCAAAGAGGAGCAUGCGCUUCAGGGUUUGAAGUGACGCCAUCUAUUUAUAAAAACAACAAUUACGUUUUACAUUACAAUGCGCAUGAUACAAAUUUGACGUGUUACAAUUAAUAACAAAAGAAGAGAUAACGCGUAAUUGCUUGGUGCCAUUCAUUACGAAGUGACGUGUUUUGAUCUGUAUAUUGUAAUCGUGGUUAAUGUAAACACUACGACUGCAAGUGUGGAAUAAUAAAUGCUGCUGUAAAAAGUAAAAAUUUAUUGAAGUUAUUUAAUAAUAGCCUAGUUAUGAUAUAUUUCAUAUAGUAAUAUAAU